rnacentral:rRNA from 1 species
UACAGAGGUCUCAAGCGUUGUUCGGAUUCAUUGGGCGUAAAGGGUGUGUAGGUGGCGCGCUAAGUCGGGUGUGAAAUUUCGGAGCUUAACUCCGAAACUGCAUUCGAUACUGGCGUGCUUGAGGACUGGAGAGGAGACUGGAAUUCAUGGUGUAGCAGUGAAAUGCGUAGAGAUCAUGAGGAACACCUGAGGUGAAGACGGGUUGCUGGGCCGACACUGACGCUGAGUGCGCGAAAGCCAGGGGAGCAAACGGG